rnacentral:lncRNA from 1 species
CGACCAGCUCCUGCAUCAAGAUCAUUGAUCAUGAGGCAGCACAUUUUUCCCUUCUUGAUAAUGUCAGCUGCCUCACGGUACCUCUGCCUGAUCAACUUAGCGGGUUCUCCAGCAUUGCCACUUUCCAAUUCUCCGGCACUCAUCAUAAUUGGGCUGAAAAAUCAUUAUCAUAACAUCACAGAGUAAGUACGCACCAAACAUAUCCUCAAACCCAAAAAAAUGACAAGAGAGCAUGGACUCACUUGAUGCCCAUCUUGGCGAAAACAAGCUCACAUUGGAAUGAUUUUCCUUGCCCUUUGCCUCCCCAUAUACCCAAGAUGAGAGGAACCUGUAAAAAUGUAAGUUUUGAAAAAUUAUUAAUCACAUUUCCCUAAAUGUAUUCAUCACUACAGAAACUAUAAGUAAAUAUACCUUGAUGUUGGGCAGGGACAUGAAGUUCUUGGUGAUGUGAACAACAAGCUUGUCCAUGAAAGCAGGGGCAAUGUAGAGACCGUCCAUCGUGUUGUCCAAGUUGUAUCUAAAUCAUCAAAUCAAAUCAAUCCAUGAUCGAAGCCAGGCACUGAUAAUAAUCGAUUAACGAUUGAUGAAUAAGCAUCAUAUAUACUUACGUGCGGAGACCUUGGCUGAUGUAGUCAUAAGAACUCAUGACAGCAUAGUGAGUUCCGGUUCCCAUGGGGGCUUGGAACAGAGAGUCCACAGCACCUUUUCCUCUGGUGAUGUCUUGCUGGUCAUCAGAUUCGUCGUAGGCAAGGCCCUUCCAUCUGUCCUUCUUGGUCUGCUUGUUCUCAUCGACUUCAGCAGUAAUCUUGAAGCUCGCAGAAGGGACCUUGGAUGGGGGGAUCCUUGAGCUUACCUUCUUCAAGCUGGUGCCAAAGAAAGAUGAGCUUGGGACAGAGGUUGCAGCACCAGAGCCAUUGAAGCUCAACUGUUCCCAAAAAUGAACUUAGCCCGUAAGAUUUAACCAUCCAAUAUGAACACCAAUCUCUACUUCUUCAAUUUCUAGACAAAUUAAGCUACUUUUAGUAAGAUUAGCCCAUGCAGACACAAAAUCAGAUACAGACUUUCCCUACAAUUAUAUAUACAUGCAAAAAUACUAAGAUAUACAUGAACUUAGGUUCGUACUAAUCAACAAGUUCCUAAUCUCUAGUCAGUUAAGAGCAAAAUCACAAGCUUCUUUCAUUAACUAAUGAUAAGAAUACAGUCCAAAUUAAACAAAUGGAGCUAAAUAGGCUAAUUAAUAAAUAGUAACGAAGAAGCAAGCUAAGCCAUGGAAAGAUGGCGGGAAAAAGAAAUAUAACAGUACCGGUACAGCAGCAGCCAUUAGGCUAGCGAGAAUUGGACGGCUGUGAUUGAAGUAGCUAAAGGGUCACGCUGCAAUGCAGGCAAAGGAAAGCGAAGCAAUGCGCUGGGUGCGUGUUGUGCU